rnacentral:sRNA from 1 species
CCGCCACGGAUGGCGGUGGUUCUAAACUUCGAGAGUUUUGCGGUGAGCAAAACUCUAAGAUGAAAAAUGUACAAGGAUGUACAUUUUUCAUCGA